rnacentral:rRNA from 1 species
GAUGAACGCUGGCGGCGUGCCUAAUACAUGCAAGUCGAGCGAACGGACGAGAAGCUUGCUCCUCUGACGUUAGCGGCGGACGGGUGAGUAACACGUGGAUAACCUACCUAUAAGACUGGGAUAACUUCGGGAAACCGGAGCUAAUACCGGAUGAUAUUUUGAACCGCAUGGUUCAAAAGUGAAAGACGGUCUUGCUGUCACUUAUAGAUGGAUCCGCGCUGCAUUAGCUAGUUGGUAAGGUAACGGCUUACCAAGGCAACGAUGCAUAGCCGACCUGAGAGGGUGAUCGGCCACACUGGAACUGAGACACGGUCCAGACUCCUACGGGAGGCAGCAGUAGGGAAUCUUCCGCAAUGGGCGAAAGCCUGACGGAGCAACGCCGCGUGAGUGAUGAAGGUCUUCGGAUCGUAAAACUCUGUUAUUAGGGAAGAACAAAUGUGUAAGUAACUGUGCACAUCUUGACGGUACCUAAUCAGAAAGCCACGGCUAACUACGUG